rnacentral:rRNA from 12 species
UUAAGCAGCUGCAUCAUCCUGCGAGUGCCCAAUCAUGUCUGAUCUCGGAAGCUAAGCAGGGUCAAAGCCAGAGUAAAUGAGAAGGGUUGCAUCAG